UGGGGAAUAUUGGACAAUCGGCGCAAGCCUUAUCCAGCCAUGCCGCGUGUGUGAUGAAUGCCCUAGGGUUUUAAAGCUCUUUCACCGGUGAAGAUAAUGACGGUAACCGGAGAAGAAGCCCCGUCUCACUUCGUUCCAGCAGCCGCGGUAAUACGAAGGGGGCUAGCGUUGUUCGGAUUUACUGGGCGUAAAGCGCACGUAGGCGGACUAUUAAGUCAGGGGUGAAAUCCCGGGGCUCAACCCCGGAACUGCCUUUGAUACUGGUAGUCUUGAGUUCGAGAGAGGUGAGUGGAAUUCCGAGUGUAGAGGUGAAAUUCGUAGAUAUUCGGAGGAAAACCAGUGGCGAAGGCGGCUAACUGGCGAGAUACUGACGCUGAGGUGCGAAAGAGUGGGGAGCAAACAGG
rnacentral:rRNA from 1 species